rnacentral:rRNA from 1 species
AACGUAGGACACAAGCGUUAUCCGGAGUUACUGGGCGUAAAGGGCGUGUAGGCGGAUUGAUAAGUCUAUUCUGAAAGCUCCUGGCUAAACUGGGAGAGGCGAAUGGAGACUGUCAGUCUAGAGUGAGGAAGAGGAAAAGUGGAAUUCCGCGUGUAGUGGUGAAAAUGCGUAGAGAUGCGGAGGAACACCAGUGGCGAAAGGCGGCUUUCU